GAUGAACGCUGGCGGCGCGCCUAACACAUGCAAGUCGAACGAUUAAAGCACCUUCGGGUGUGUAUAAAGUGGCGAACGGCUGAGUAACACGUGGGCAACCUGCCCCUCUCAUUGGGAUAGCCACGGGAAACCGUGGAUAAUACCGAAUACUUCGGGACUUCCGCAUGGAAGACUCGAGAAAGCUCCGGCGGAGAGGGAUGGGCCCGCGGCCUGUUAGCUUGUUGGUGGGGUAAUGGCCUACCAAGGCAAUGAAGGGUAGCUGGGUUGAGAGACCGACCAGCCAGAUUGGGACUGAGACACGGCCCAGACUCCUACGGGAGGCAGCAGUGGGGAAUCUUGCACAAUGGGCGAAAGCCUGAUGCAGCGACGCCGCGUGCGGGAUGAAGGCCUUCGGGUUGUAAACCGCUUUCAGCAGGGACGAGGCGAAAGUGACGGUACCUGCAGAAGAAGCCCCGGCUAACUACGUG
rnacentral:rRNA from 1 species